UACGGGGGGGGCAAGCGUUGUUCGGAAUUACUGGGCGUAAAGGGCUCGUAGGUGGCCAACUAAGUCAGACGUGAAAUCCCUCAGCUUAACUGGGGAGCUGCGUCUGAUACUGGAUGGCUUGAGUUUGGGAGAGGGAUGCGGAAUUCCAGGUGUAGCGGUGAAAUGCGUAGAUAUCUGGAGGAACACCGGUGGCGAAGGCGGCAUCCUGGACCAAUACUGACACUCAGGUGCGACAGCGUGGGGAGCAAACAGG
rnacentral:rRNA from 1 species